rnacentral:rRNA from 1 species
CGCAAGCCUGACGGAGCCAGACCGCGUGAGGGAAGAAAGCCUUUGGGUUGUAAACCUCUUUUCUCAGGGAAGAAACCUGACGGUACCUGAGGAAUCAGCAUCGGCUAACUCCGUGCCAGCAGCCGCGGUAAGACGGAGGAUGCAAGCGUUAUCCGGAAUUAUUGGGCGUAAAGCGUCCGCAGGUGGUGAGUCAAGUCUGCUGUCAAAGCCAGGAGCUCAACUCCUGUCCGGCAGUGGAAACUGAAUGGCUAGAGUGCCGUAGGGGUAGAGGGAAUUCCCGGUGUAGCGGUGAAAUGCGUAGAGAUCGGGAAGAACAUCGGUGGCGAAAGCGCUCUACUGGACGGCAACUGACACUCAGGGACGAAAGCUAGGGGAGCG